GUGGCCUGCAUUGUUCUCAUUCACAGUCACCAAGACUCACCUCUAAAGUGGAGAAAUAUCCAAAAUGGCAGUUUGUUGCCAGUAAGGCAGAAAUCCAACAUUCAGUGGAAGAAGGGACUGUUCAACUUUUCCUUUGCUGCUCAAUAGUUUCAGCUCCACACUUCUUGAGAAUGCUUUUUGCCUUGCCGCCCUGCUCCUAGGGCCAUUUCUGUGUCCUUGAUGAAGGCUCAGAGGCCUCAGAAGGACUUCCUCCGCU